UACAGAGGUGGCAAGCGUUGUUCGGAAUUACUGGGCGUAAAGGGCGCGUAGGCGGUCAUCUAAGUCAGACGUGAAAUCCCCCGGCUUAACCUGGGAACUGCGUCUGAUACUGGAAGGCUUGAGUAUGGGAGAGGGAUGUAGAAUUCCCGGUGUAGCAGUGAAAUGCGUAGAUAUCGGGAGGAACAUCUGUGGCGAAGGCGACACCCUGGACCAGCACUGACACUGAGGCACGAAAGCGUGGGGAGCAAACAGG
rnacentral:rRNA from 1 species